GAAACCGCGAAUGGCUCAUUAAAUCACACCUAAUGUACCUGGAAGUUCCAUUACUUGGAUAACUGCGGUAAUUCUGGAGCUAAUACAUGCUAAAGAGCCCUGACUCACGGAGGGGCGCAUUUAUUAGAUCAAAACCAAACGCUUCGGCGUUCAUUGGUGAAUCUGAAUAACUUUUGCUGAUCGUAUGGCUCAACGCCGACGACGUUCCAGUCCAAGGUGUGCCCUAUCAACUUUCGACUGUGAUAUAGACGCUCACAGUGGUUUUGACGGGUAACGGGGAAUUAGGGUUCGAUUCCGGAGAGGGAGCCUGAGAAACGGCUACCACUUCUAAGGAAGGCAGCAGGCACGCAAAUUACCCAAUGGUCGAAGACCGAGGUAGUGACGAAAAAUAACGAUACCGGUCUCUUCCGAGGCCCGGUAAUCGGAAUGAGUACACUUUAAAUCCUUUAACGAGGAUCCAU
rnacentral:rRNA from 1 species